GAUGAACGCUGGCGGCGUGCCUAAUACAUGCAAGUCGAGCGAACAGAUGAGGAGCUUGCUCCUCUGACGUUAGCGGCGGACGGGUGAGUAACACGUGGAUAACCUACCUAUAAGACUGGGAUAACUUCGGGAAACCGGAGCUAAUACCGGAUAAUAUAUUGAACCGCAUGGUUCAAUAGUGAAAGACGGUUUUGCUGUCACUUAUAGAUGGAUCCGCGCCGCAUUAGCUAGUUGGUAAGGUAACGGCUUACCAAGGCAACGAUGCGUAGCCGACCUGAGAGGGUGAUCGGCCACACUGGAACUGAGACACGGUCCAGACUCCUACGGGAGGCAGCAGUAGGGAAUCUUCCGCAAUGGGCGAAAGACUGACGGAGCAACGCCGCGUGAGUGAUGAAGGUCUUCGGAUCGUAAAACUCUGUUAUUAGGGAAGAACAAAUGUGUAAGUAACUAUGCACGUCUUGACGGUACCUAAUCAGAAAGCCACGGCUAACUACGUG
rnacentral:rRNA from 1 species